GCAUGUGGGGACACGUGUGUGCACACAUGUGGCUGGGAUACUACUGUGGCUCCCUGUGUCCCUAUGUGUGCAACCUGGGCGCCACUGUGUGCCUGUCUGGAAGCAUGCUCCACGGGCAUAUACCUGCGUGUCCAAGUAGGCCCCGUGUGCACAUAUGUGUGCGUGCCUGGGUGUGUACGAGCACGCGUGGACCUCACUGUGCACGCCCUCACCAGAAAGCUCCACCAAGGAACAACGCAGAGGCUUCACUCUGGAUGACAAACGAGGAGGGGAGAGGCCUGCCCUGCCUGGACUCUGGGCCCCAGCCAGGACUGUGUAAGCGAGAGGAUACCUGCACCCCCUUUAAUCCCUCAGCGGGGUCUCCCCAGUGGGGAGACCAGACCUGGGAAACAUGGCUCACCUUGGUAAGCCAUCAGCCUCUCCACGCCUCAGUUUCUUCAUCUGCAAAAUGGGCAUGCCUUUAGGCCUAGUGAGGCUAGUGCAUGUAAGCACUUAAUAAAGCCUGCAGCGGUGGGGCUCAGAUGGCCCAGCCCUCUGCUCUGAGGACCUCCCUGACCUGGCAUGCACAUCUGCAUGGUCAUGUACACGUGCGUGCACACGAGCUGGGGAACAGUGAAGACGCUCCCAGAGGAGACGCUCAGAAACGAUGAUGAGGUCUUUUCUGAAUGGACCUGACCAUUUCGAAGAACAGAAUGGCAAUUUCACAUGGUGCAACCGGGGAGGUGAACCGCCCAGCCCAGAGCCGGCCUGCAGCGGCACUCACCCCAGCAGCUGUCGUAGCGGAGCGAGCCUGCGUCCUCUAUAAACCCAGGUGACCUCGCGCUUCUUCGUUUCUGUUUUCCUGGAAAUUUUUACAAAAUUCCUUUGAACUCUCCAACUUCUCUCACUAAAUGAAAAUAAGUUGGGGUCUCUGAUUAAAACAGAAAAGCCGAUAUUCCGCCCCCCCCCCGCCCCCCACGGAUGCCAGUGGCCAAGGUAGAGGGGUGGCCCCACAGGAGAAGGGAGGACUGGCCUGGGAGGAGGGGAGUGGUGGGGAUGACCCCCUUCCCCUCCCAAGCCCUUCAGAAGAGGCUGACGGGAAAGGGUGGUGAGAAGGGGUGGAGCCCGAGGAGAUUGUGGGGUGUGUACAAAAUGCUGCGUUCUGAAAGGGGGGCGUGGGAGUGGACUGGAUGCACCCACGCUCUGUGGCUCCUGCCCGGAAUAUUGGGUGAAAAGCGAAGUGGGAGGCCAGGGGUCUCGCCAACCUCAGAGAGCCCCACGUGCAGGUUCUAGGACAUUCCCAUUCUCAGAGACCCAUUCAGCCUGCGGCGGGGGGGACAGCCCCUGCCUCAGCAACCCCCGCCCCAGGCAGCAGCCUUGCCUCUCCCUCUUAAAGUCAAGUUCAGCCCAGAGGGAGGGGGAAGGUCAGGUCACAGUAGCAAGUAGAGCUGACAAGCUGAAGGAACCAGGCAAUCCAUGAGGAAGGCCCCACAGGGCCAGGGAGCCCCCUACACAGACACCCUCUGAGCGAAAGGCCACACACAGCCUGGGGAGCCCCACUCCCCACCACGGCCCUGUAUCCCAUUCUCUCUUGUCCUCUGGGCUCCCACAUCUCCCGUGCUGCCCUGCGGGAUCAGGCCCUCUCUGCCCUCGCUGUGUCCAUGCAGGGAAAUAGCAUCCUAUCAAUUCCGGCACACUCAUCAAGUGCUGAUCUAGAGCAAUGACGAUAACUCCGCCAGCCCUUUGCAGGAAGCCUAACAGGUGUUCUUUAAUUCUCCCAGAGACAUGGCUGUUAUCAUCCUAUUUCACAGAUUGAGAACUUGAGGUUGAGAGAGGAUGAUGGGUAUUAGUUUCCUGGAGCUGCUGUCACUGGCUUCAAACGACAGAAAUUUGUUCUCUCACAGUCCUGGAGGCUAGACGUCCAAAAUCAAGGUGCCGGCAGGAGGUACCUGGGUGGCUCGGUUGGUUAAGCAUCUGACUCUUGGCUUCGACUCAGGUCACGAUCUCAUGGUUGUGGGAUGGAGCCAUGUGUUGAGCUCCGGGCACCACGCUGGGCUUGGAGCCUGCUUGAGAUUCUCUCUCCCCCCCUCUCUUUCUGCCCCUCCCCUGCUCAUGCUCGUUCUCUCUUCAGAAUCUGCAUCAGAAUCUGGCUCGUGGCCGCUUUUGUGCGUAGCAGGCCACUUUGGAUCAUGGCUGUGGGUCCCUCUAGUCUGUCCAGAGACACUGCCCCCGAAGGUGGCCUGCUCGGCUGUUAGCUGAAUCUCCUUCCUGCCCUUUUGCCCACUCCCCCGGCAGGGGCCAGGAGAUCAGGAGGGUUUGGGGUGGAGGGAGGGGUGAGCACAUCACGGCAGAAGGGGCCUGAGGAGGGAUGAAGAGGAAGGUCAUCCCCAGAGGACAAGUAUAGAGACCUAGAGCGACAAGUGUCCGGGUCUCUCCUUCCCGUUUCCAGAGGCCCAGGAUCCCCCCACCAUCCUCGGAACACAAAAGCAGCCUCUGUGCCGGUAGGAAAGCUACAGGGCUGGAGCUUCCUCACAUGCACCUGCUGGACUUUUCCAGAAAUAUCAACAAAGGUCCAACUUUCUUUCCAUCCCUCUUUUGAAGCAGGAGCUUGGGGCUGAAGCGUUGCCUGCACCUGUGGGAGGGGUCGAGGUGGGCGGCUGUGACCACGGGGGGUGUGGGUGGAGAAACCGGGGGCUGUGGAUGCCACUAAAAGUCGCCUCCAGGCCCUCCUUCACCCUAGACAGUCAUCCUGCCCCUCCCACUCCCCAAAACAGGGCAGCAAAGAGGAAGGGAUGCGGGGAGAGCAGAAGGGGGAAGUCCCCAGCUCUGCCGGGUCCCAAGAUCACCAACCGUGAGAGAUGCUCGUGCCAUCCGGCCCCCAGAAGAUGUCACUUGUCUCUCCCGGCUACGCUCCAGGGAGAAGGACAGCACUGCACAGACUGGACAUAGGUGUGCAAGGAGGGGGCCCCAGCCCCUGCACAGGAGGAGCUGAGGGGGGAACAGGAGACGCCAGGACUGCUUGGGACGGGCUGAGGUUCAUGUGCAGGAGGCAGGUGAUUUGACGCUGGAGCCUGAAGAGGGGCCAGUACUGACCAUCCAUUUCUUCAGUUGUUUAACAAACACAGUGUGUCAGGCUCUGUUCUAGGUGCUGGGGACACCACAGGGACGAGGCGCAAAGCCCUGCUCCCCUGCGGCAGACAGACGACAAAUAACCAAGCUCACAAUUGCAGAGGGCUCUAACCAGAUUGUUGGGGAAUCUCGACUGGCUGGGAAAUAGACGUGAAAUUGUUUCAUUCUUCCAGGCACUGCCCUGGGCAGAGGCUGCUUUCCGGCUGGAAGCGGCAGCUCCCUGGCCAACACCCGGCCAGAUUCUGAGCCUUCUCCACCUGCCAGGUGGACCUUCAGAAGCUCUAUGCCGAUGAGCUGGUGGGUGGAGGGCUCCCCUGGCCCUCAGUUCUCCACUGUUGCGUAGGGAGAGAGAGAAAGAGGAAUCUGCUCCCGACGUUCCUGGGCCAGGGAGCCCCAGAACCACGACUCCUUUUCUGUGAACAGUACCAGGGGUCCAACUUGCUCACCAACGGAGUGUUCACUUGGGGCACUCCCCGUGCUCAGCAAGGCCCCACACUUGGUUUAACAUGCUGCUGCCAUGGUCUCGAAAUUCUUAACAAUUGUGGAACAAGGGGCCCUGCAUUUGCAUUUUUCACCCAGACUGUUACAACGUACGUAGCCGGUCCUGCCUGCCAGACAUGCGUGUUACAGCUGCGUCCAGCUGGCCACAUCACUCCACACUGCGCCCCGCCCCCAACGCUGCAACAGUCCCCAAAAGCCUGAAGCCGCAGACUCAUCCACUCUCCAGGCCGGCUCUCCGGGCUGUGGGCACACGUGAGAUUGCCCUCUGUACGUGAGGGACCAGGAACCUCAGGGUGCGGGUAUCAGCCUCUCCUCACUAGGCAGGCCCCACCCCACCAUCCUCAGGAGCCCCCCGGGCCGGACGGCGGGUCCCCUGGCUAAGCUGAACUCCAAUGGGACACCGAAAUGCCAGCCUCUCCCUCCUGCCAGCUCCCUUGAUUCCUGAACAAGGGAUUCCUUCAUCCUUCCGGGGUCCCUGCCCUUCCUUCCAGCUCUGCUGCAGACGUGAGGGAAGAUGCUCUCUCCCUCAAAUCUGUGCAGUCCCCAAGGCUCUCCCCCACCGGCCCCCACCUCUUCUCCUCUGCACGUGGGCGAGGGCCUUUGGGGAGGAUGUGGGUCUGACAGGGCCCGGCCGUGAGCCCUGCAGUGACAAGGAGGUCUGGGAGGGUCUGCCACUCGACUAGCCUGUGGGAGACCCAGCCCCUUGGGACAGGCAAGUCCCCACCAGACAGCCGGCAACAGAGCAGCGACUGCUCUGAAGAAGGUGCCAGAGGGGAUGUGGCAGAGAAGAGGACACGCUGUCGGGACAGUGGCCAUUCCAGUGGAAGAGGCCGAGGACGACCAGGAGGACCAGUCACCAGUAAUAAAAAAAGUUGCACGAAA